CCGAGGGGGCAAGCGUUGUUCGGAAUUACUGGGCGUAAAGGGCGCGUAGGCGGCCUUCUAAGUCGAACGUGAAAUCCCCGGGCUCAACCCGGGAACUGCGUCCGAUACUGGAAGGCUUGAAUCCGGGAGAGGGAUGCGGAAUUCCAGGUGUAGCGGUGAAAUGCGUAGAUAUCUGGAGGAACACCGGUGGCGAAGGCGGCAUCCUGGACCGGUAUUGACGCUGAGGCGCGAAAGCCAGGGGAGCAAACGGG
rnacentral:rRNA from 1 species